rnacentral:rRNA from 1 species
GAUAAACGCUGGCGGCGUGCCUAACACAUGCAAGUCGAACGUCCUGCUCCUUCGGGGGCAGGGAGUGGCGGACGGGUGAGUAACACGUGGGUACCUCCCCUCAGGUGAGGGAUACCGGCGAGAAAUCGCCGACAAGACCGCAUAGGGUCGUCUCCUUCGGGGAGGCGAGCAAAGUCGCAAGACGCCUGGGGAUGGGCCUGCGUCCGAUUAGCUGGCUGGUGGGGUAAGAGCCUACCAGGGCGACGAUCGGUAGCUGGUCUGAGAGGACGAUCAGCCA